GACGAACGCUGGCGGCGUGCUUAACACAUGCAAGUCGAACGAAGAGCGACGGAAGCUUGCUUCUAUCAAUCUUAGUGGCGAACGGGUGAGUAACGCGUAAUCAACCUGCCCUUCAGAGGGGGACAACAGUUGGAAACGACUGCUAAUACCGCAUACGAUCUAAUCUCGGCAUCGAGGAUGGAUGAAAGGUGGCCUCUACAUGUAAGCUAUCACUGAAGGAGGGGAGUGCGUCUGAUUAGCUAGUUGGAGGGGUAACGGCCCACCAAGGCGAUGAUCAGUAGCCGGUCUGAGAGGAUGAACGGCCACAUUGGGACUGAGACACGGCCCAGACUCCUACGGGGGGCAGCAGUGGGGAAUCUUCCGCAAUGGACGAAAGUCUGACGGAGCAACGCCGCGUGAGUGAUGACGGCCGUCGGGUUGUAAAGCUCUGUUAAUCGGGACGAAAGGCCUUCUUGCGAAUAGUGAGAAGGAUUGACGGUACCGGAAUAGAAAGCCACGGCUAACUACGUG
rnacentral:rRNA from 1 species